rnacentral:rRNA from 1 species
UACGUAGGGUGCAAGCGUUGUCCGGAAUUAUUGGGCGUAAAGAGCUCGUAGGCGGCUUGUCACGUCGGGUGUGAAAUCCUGGGGCUUAACCCCGGGCGUGCAGUGGAUACGGGCAGGCUGGAGGCAGGCAGGGGAGAAUGGAAUUCCCGGUGUAGCGGUGAAAUGCGCAGAUAUCGGGAGGAACACCGGUGGCGAAGGCGGUUCUCUGGGCCUGUUCUGACGCUGAGGAGCGAAAGCGUGGGGAGCGAACAGG